CUCACUCUAUAUAAACUUAACAAAAAGUUAAAUUAUAUGGUCAAUCUACAAUGGAGAGCCAAUCAUCAUCUAUCAUGGAACAAUCACACAUUGAAAGUGCUGAAACACCAUAGAUUAAUGAGGAUGAAUACGGGCCACUUUUCGGGGAAAAAACUUAUUGUGAUCUGUUUCUUUCGAAGACUAGUGUUAAUCCCCCAUACAAUUUGAUAGAAGGGUCUGAUUCAGGAGCAGAACAAGAGGAAUGAAGAGUUGUGGCAGGUGUUAGUUUCUUGGUGGUGGCGGGAGCAUGUAAUGACCUCCUUCCUCUUUACCAAUCCCCUUCAUCUUUCCAGUGCAAAGGUUCUGAAACAAGCAAAAGGAAGGAUAAAAGAAAACACAACAAUUCAGUUCUUUUGUGAGCUUAGAGAUGGAGAAAAGGUUGUAUGCAAAGUGGGGUAUGUAUAAAACAUACUGUAAUUCACUAUUGUCGAAGAUAGCAACAGAAACAGUAUGAGAAACUACAGUGAUUUGAUCAUUUGGUAGGUGGACAAAAUUUGAAUUGGGAGCAACUAAGGUGGGAUGCAGUAGUGAAUUCAAAUUUAAUACCAUGUGAUUCGUAGCCCCAGUGUCCACAAUCCAGAAAAUUGAAUCAUUUACCUAUAGAAAAACAAGCAUUGAAUGUAUAUAAUAUAGAGUGAAUUUUCUGAUGUGUACCUUCCAUAUUAGCAGCAAUGUCCUUUGAUGAAGCAUACUUGGCAAUAAGUUUCAUUAAAUACUGGUACUGAUCAUGUGUAAAGGUUGGCACAGGUUACAAUGAAAAGAGAUUUAGCA